rnacentral:rRNA from 1 species
UACGAAGGGGGCGAGCGUUUGUUCGGAUUUACUGGGCGUAAAGGGCGCGUAGGCGGCCCGUUUUGUCAGGCGUGAAAGCCCUGGGCUCAACCUGGGAACUGCGCUUGGGACGGAUGGCUUGAGAUCGGGAGAGGAGAGUGGAAUUCCCAGUGUAGAGGUGAAAUUCGUAGAUAUUGGGAAGAACACCGGUGGCGAAGGCGGCUCUCUGGACCGACACUGACGCUGAGGCGCGAAAGCGUGGGGAGCAAACAGG